AGUCCAUGGUGAGGAUGUUUCUUAAGAAAUUCCUUAAAUCUAUCCUAUGACUCAUAUAAAGAUUCAUUACCAAAUUGUGAAAAAGUUGUUAUGUUAUUCCUUAAUUU